GGGCUGGGGCUCAGUGGUAGAGCGCUUGCCUAGCAUGUAUGAGGCACUGGGUUCAAUUCUCAGCACCACA
rnacentral:tRNA from 1 species